GACGCUGGCGGCAGGCCUAACACAUGCAAGUCGAGCGAACCCUUCGGGGUUAGCGGCGGACGGGUGAGUAACGCGUGGGAAUAUGCCCUUUGCUACGGAAUAGCCCUGGGAAACUGGGAGUAAUACCGUAUGUGCCCUACGGGGGAAAGANUUAUCGGCAAAGGAUUAGCCCGCGUUGGAUUAGGUAGUUGGUGGGGUAAUGGCCUACCAAGCCGACGAUCCAUAGCUGGUUUGAGAGGAUGAUCAGCCACACUGGGACUGAGACACGGCCCAGACUCCUACGGGAGGCAGCAGUGGGGAAUCUUAGACAAUGGGGGCAACCCUGAUCUAGCCAUGCCGCGUGAGUGAUGAAGGCCUUAGGGUUGUAAAGCUCUUUCAGCUGGGAAGAUAAUGACGGUACCAGCAGAAGAAGCCCCGGCUAACUCCGUGCCAGCAGCCGCGGUAAUACGGAGGGGGCUNNCGUUGUUCGGAAUUACUGGGCGUAAAGCGCACGUAGGCGGACUGGAAAGUUGGGGGUGAAAUCCCGGGGCUCAACCUCGGAACUGCCUUCAAAACUAUCAGUCUGGAGUUCGAGAGAGUGAGUG
rnacentral:rRNA from 1 species